GCUCCCAUGGCGUAGUGGUCACUGCAUCGCCUUGCACGCAGGAGACCCGGGUUCGAUUCCCGGCGGGGUCA
rnacentral:tRNA from 1 species